GUGUGUGGGCGGGAGCAGGCGUUGCAGUUGGUUGCAUCAUGAUUUUUGAGGCCGAGAGCAAAUAAAUUCAUUUCGACACAGUCCCAACUGCUGGUACUUGAGAGACUGGACCAUCCACACGUGGAUUAGACAGUGUCUGAAAUACGGAGCACCAGACAAAGCCUUGUAUACACUUGUUAAUAAGGUUCAGUAUGGAAUUUUUCCAGAUAACUUUACAUUCAACUUACUGAUGGAUUAUUUCAUAAAGAAAGAAAAUUAUAAAGAUGCUUUGUCUGUGGUUUUUGAGAUCAUGAAGCAAGAAGCCUUUGAAGUGCCAUCCACCCAGUUCCUCUCCCUCUAUGUUUUAUACCAUUGCCUAGCAGAGAAGACAGACCUCACA
rnacentral:lncRNA from 1 species